rnacentral:hammerhead_ribozyme from 1 species
AUCCAGCUGACGAGUCUCAAACAGGAAGAAACGUCUAUCCUGGAU